GCCCAGUUCCUCAAACUGAGCCAGUUUUCAGACCUUGAACUUGUUGACUGAAGGAGAGGCUAGAUUCCCAGAAGCAUGUGACUUCCAUCCUCGUGGUUUGCAAGAUGGUUGCUGUAACUCCAAGAGUUGUGAACACGCUCCGGACAGAAGAAGGAGGGAGGAGGAAAGAAGGAGAAGAGCCAGUAUUGGGAAAAUGGAAGCUUUCCUCAGAAAUCCCCCAUGGACUUCCGCUUCUGUCUCAUUGGCCAGAACGGGGUCAUGUGACGACUGGCUGUGAAGAGGUCUGGGAAGGUUCAUGUUUUCAGCUGAGUAUAUUGUAGGGCUGAACAAAAUUGGGGUUUUGUGGUGAGAAGGAAGUAGAGAUUAGAAUGGGGGAAUAACUAGCCGUUCUGGCAUGUGUCACGGUCUACUUCUUUAUUUCUUCU
rnacentral:lncRNA from 1 species